GGCAUGAUGGUGCAUGCCAUUAGUCCCAGCCACUCGGGAGGCUGGGGCACAAGAAUCACUUGAACCUGGGAGGUGGAGGUUGCAGUGAGCCAAGAUCGUGCCACAAACUCCAGCCUGGUUGACAAGAGCAGAACUCCAUCUCAAAAAAAAAAUGAAUAAAGUCAACUAAAUAGGCAAAGAGAGAGAUACUUCUCCUGGUCACAAUAAUCGCAUGGCCCAAAUAUCUAGAGAAUCCAGAUUUGAAGUGCUGUAUAUCCUGUAGUCUUUACAGACCAUCAAAAUGUUAUUGACAUUUUGGUCCUUUUUUCCACAUUAAACAAAAUCAGUCUUUUUACAAAUCCACAGAUUUUAAAAAUGUAUUUUAAUAGAUAAGAAUUAUAUUUAAUAAACUUGUAAUAUUAACUAUUAAUUUUCUUCACUCUUUAGUUGGAAGCAAGGUAUCAUUCUUUCAACCAGAUGAUGAAGUAGUUGGAAUUUUGCCCCUGGACUCUGAAGACCCUGGACUUUGUGAAGUUGUUAGAGUACAUGAGCAUUACUUGGUUCAUAAACCAGAAAAGGUCACAUGGACGGAAGCAGCAGGAAGCAUUCGGGAUGGAGUGCGUGCCUAUACAGCUCUGCAUUAUCUUUCUCAUCUCUCUCCUGGAAAAUCAGUGCUGAUAAUGGAUGGAGCAAGUGCAUUUGGUACAAU
rnacentral:lncRNA from 1 species